rnacentral:rRNA from 1 species
GAGAUACUGUCAAGUUAGUAAGGGCUGCUGGUGGAUGCCUUGGCAUCGAAAGGCGAAGAAGGACGUACAUACCUACGAAAAGUUCCGGAGAGCUGGAAAGAAGCAUAGACCCGGAGAUAUCCGAAUGGGGGAACCCGCUGGAAUUAAUCUUCCAGGAUCUUAGUCUGAAUACAUAGGAUUAGGAGGCGAUACCCGCUGAACUGAAACAUCUAAGUAGGCGGAGGAGAAGAAAUCACAUUGAGAUUUGCAUAGUAGCGGCGAGCGAAGUGCGAAGAGCCCAAACUCGAGGAUUUAUUCUUGAGGGUUGAAGGGCCAGCCAUAAAGGUUAUGGAAUUUUAGCAGAAUCAUCUGGAAAGAUGAGCGGGACAGGGUGAAAGCCCCGUAAGCGAAAAGAGGAAGUAAUUAGGCAGGUACCUGAGUAGGGCCGGACACGUGAAACCCGGUCUGAAGCAGGGGAGACCACUCUCCAAGGCUAAAUACUCAUCGAUGACCGAUAGUGAACCAGUACUGUGAAGGAAAGGUGAAAAGAACCGCUGUUAGCGGAGUGAAAUAGAACCUGAAACCAGCAGCUUACAAACGGUCGGAGGCCUAUGCCCCUUUUAGGGGAAUGGCUGACGGCGUGCCUUUUGCAUGAUGAGCCAGCGAGUUAGGGUUUAUGGCAAGGUUAAGCAACGACGUUGUGGAGCCGUAGCGAAAGCGAGUGUGAAAAGCGCAUUUGAGUCAUAGAGUCUAGACACGAAACCAACUGAUCUAUCCAUGGCCAGGUUGAAAGAGGGGUAAGACCCUGUGGAGGACCGAACCAGUUGCUGUUGAAAAAGCUUUGGAUGAGCUGUGGAUAGGGGUGAAAGGCCAAUCAAAGUUGGAGAUAUCUUGUUCUCUCCGAAAUAACUUUAGGGUUAGUCUCGAGCAUACCUCUUGUGGGGGUAGAGCACUGGAUUCACGCGGGGGCCUACCGGCCUACCAAAGGAAACCAAACUCCGAAUACUACAAGAGAGCACGGGAACUAGACUGUGGGGGAUAAGCUUCAUAGUCAAAAGGGGAACAGCCCAGAUCGUCGAUUAAGGCCCCGAAUUCUAUCUUAAGUGAGUAAGGAAGUUGAGUUUCGAAAACAGUUGGGAUGUUGGCUUAGAGGCAGCCAUCAUUUAAAGAGUGCGUAACAGCUCACCAAUCGAGAAACUCUGCGCCGAUAAUAUGCGGGACUAAAAGAUAGAGCCGAAAUCACGGGUUUGCCGAGAGGCAAGCGGUAGGAGAGCGUAGUAUUAGCGUAGAAGGUAUACCGAGAGGAGUACUGGAGCGGAUACUAGUGAAGAUGCAUGGCAUAAGUAAACGAUAAAGAAGGUGAAAAUCCUUCUCGCCGAAAAUCCAAGGUUUCCAGGGUAAAGUUCGUCUUCCCUGGGUUAGCCGGACCCUAAGCUGAGGCGGAAACGCGUAAGUGAUGGGAAGCAGGUUAAAUAUUCCUGCGCCGCCUAAGACAAUGACGAAGGGGUGACAAAGUAAGUUAAGCACGCGGACUAUUGGAUGUCCGUGAUUCUCUGAGAUGGGCUAGAAGGCAAAUCCGCUAGCAGGACAUCAGGGGGGAGACAAGGGGAACUGAAAGGGGAACCGAAGGUGUGGCGCGAGGCUUUCAAGAAAUAACCUCUAGUGGUCGAUGGCGACCGUACCAAAACCGACACAGGUGGAUGAGAAGAGAAUUCUCAGGCGCGCGAGAGAACUCACGUUAAGGAACUCUGCAAACUAGCCUCGUAACUUCGGGAGAAGAGGCACCGGAGGCCGUGAUAAAGAACAUUUAGAGCGGACUUUGGUCGCAGUGAAAAGGCCCAGGCGACUGUUUAACAAAAACACAGCACUCUGCGAAUUCGUCUAAGAAGACGUAUAGGGUGUGAUACCUGCCCAAUGCCGAAAGGUCAAAAGGAGAUGUUAGUUUUCGGACGAAGCAUUGAAUUUAAGCCCCGGUGAAUGGCGGCCGUAACUAUAACGGUCCUAAGGUAGCGAAAUUCCUUGUCGGGUAAGUUCCGACCUGCACGAAUGGUGUAACGAUCUGGGCGCUGUCUCAACGAGAGACUCGGUGAAAUUGUAGUAGCAGUGAAGAUGCUGUUUACCCGCAAUAAGACGGAAAGACCCCGUGAACCUUUACUGUACUCUGAUAUGGGCUCUCGACUUGUUAUGUGUAGGAUAGCCAGGAGGCUGAGAAGUGCUGUCGUUAGGCAGGAUGGAGCCGACGGUGAAAUACUGGUCUUAACAAGUUGGGAAUCUAACAUUACUUCAUGAAGCUGGAGGAUGGACAGUGUCAGACGGGCAGUUUUACUGGGGCGGUAUCCUCCUAAAGAGUAACGGAGGAGUCCAAAGCUUGCCUCAUCGUGGUUGGUAAUCACGAGUAGAGCGUAAAAGUAUAAGGCAGGUUGACUGCGAGACCAACAAGUCAAGCAGGUACGAAAGUAGGGUUUAGUGAUCCGGCGGUAGAAAGUGGAAUCGCCGUCGCUCAACGGAUAAAAGGUACUCCGGGGAUAACAGGCUUAUCGCCACCAAGAGUUCAUAUCGACGUGGCGGUUUGGCACCUCGAUGUCGACUCAUCGCAUCCUGGGGCUGGAGAAGGUCCCAAGGGUUAGGCUGUUCGCCUAUUAAAGCGGUACGCGAGUUGGGUUCAGAACGUCGUGAGACAGUUCGGUCCCUAUCUGUUGCGGGCGUAGGAAUUUUGAGAGGAGUUGCUUCUAGUACGAGAGGACCGAAGUGAACAAACCGAUGGUGUUCCGGUUGUAUUGCCAAGUGCAUAGCCGGGUAGCUAUGUUUGGAAAGGAUAAGCGUUGAAAGCAUCUAAACGCCAAGCCUCCCUCGAGAUAAGAAUUCCCUAGAGACCCCAUGAAGAUCACAUGGUUGAUAGGUUGGGUGUGUAAGUGCAGUGAUGUACUCAGCUAACCAAUACUAAUCGGUCCAAUGACUUGACUU